rnacentral:rRNA from 1 species
CGAGAAAGCCCGCAAGGGUGAGUAAAGCGGCGCACGGGUGCGUAACACGUGGGUAAUCUGCCCUGAAGUCCGGAAUAACUCGCCGAAAGGCGUGCUAAUGCCGGAUGAGACCACGGGAGCCUCGGCUCCUGCGGGAAAAGGUGGCCUCUGUAUACAAGCUAUCGCUUCAGGAUGAGCCCGCGGCCCAUCAGCUCGUUGGCGGGGUAAUGGCCCACCAAGGCUACGACGGGUAGCUGGUCUGAGAGGACGAUCAGCCACACUGGAACUGAGACACGGUCCAGACUCCUACGGGAGGCAGCAGUGGAGAAUCUUGCGCAAUGGGCGAAAGCCUGACGCAGCAACGCCGCGUGUGUGAUGAAGGUCUUCGGAUCGUAAAGCACUGUCGCGAGGGACG